GAUCUUAGUUCCGUAUCCAAAUGCUAUUUUUCUCCAUAUAAAUAAAUUGCAGAAAAAUUUAUAAAGCCGCAAGCCACAAUAACUUUCAAAGGGCAAACGCAUAUCAUAUAAAUGCUAAUAUACAUGCAGGCUAACAUUCAGUCAAUGAUCGAUUGUCGUUGCAAGUGUUGUACAAGAAAUUUUUAAAAUGAGGUUCCAACUGUUUUUCCUAUUCUUAGUUUUGAGUGUUUUAGCUGUGAAAACUAGCAAUGGAUUAAAACAUGAAGAUAUUGUCCAACAUAUGAAAGCCGCUGGCAAGCAGAUCUUUGAUGUGGGCGAGAUAAUCGGUCAAACAUCGACUCAACUGAAGCGAGCCUUCAAAUUGGACCAGCGAAGAAAAUAAUGUUUACCUCCAAAAAUGGGAUAGAAUACAGGAAGAGUAUAUAUAUGUAUAUAUUUAUACCACAGAUUUAAAUACAAGUCAGAGAAAUACAAAUAAAUCAAACAA